GAUGAACGCUGGCGGCGUGCCUAAUACAUGCAAGUCGAGCGAACGGACGAGAAGCUUGCUUCUCUGAUGUUAGCGGCGGACGGGUGAGUAACACGUGGAUAACCUACCUAUAAGACUGGGAUAACUUCAGGAAACUGGGGCUAAUACCGGAUAGGAGCUCCUGCUGCAUGGUGGGGGUUGGAAAGUUUCGGCGGUUGGGGAUGGACUCGCGGCUUAUCAGCUUGUUGGUGGGGUAGUGGCUUACCAAGGCUUUGACGGGUAGCCGGCCUGAGAGGGUGACCGGCCACAUUGGGACUGAGAUACGGCCCAG
rnacentral:rRNA from 1 species